UACAGAGGUCCCGAGCGUUAUCCGGAGUGACUGGGCGUAAAGAGUUGCGUAGGCGGUUAGUUAAGUGAAUAGUGAAACCUGGUGGCUCAACCAUACAGACUAUUAUUCAAACUGGCUAACUCGAGAAUAGCAGAGGUAACUGGAAUUUCUUGUGUAGGAGUGAAAUCCGUAGAUAUAAGAAGGAACACCAAUGGCGUAGGCAGGUUACUGGGCUAUUUCUGACGCUAAGGCACGAAAGCGUGGGGAGCGAACCGG
rnacentral:rRNA from 1 species